AGUGAACGCUGGCGGUAGGCCUAACACAUGCAAGUCGAACGGCAGCACAGUAAGAGCUUGCUCUUACGGGUGGCGAGUGGCGGACGGGUGAGGAAUACAUCGGAAUCUACUUUUUCGUGGGGGUUAACGUAGGGAAACUUACGCUAAUACCGCAUACGACCUACGGGUGAAAGCAGGGGAUCUUCGGACCUUGCGCGAUUGAAUGAGCCGAUGUCGGAUUAGCUAGUUGGCGGGGUAAAGGCCCACCAAGGCGACGAUCCGUAGCUGGUCUGAGAGGAUGAUCAGCCACACUGGAGCUGAGACACGGACCGGACUCGUACGGGAGGCAGCAGUGGGGAAUAAUGGACAAUGGGCGCAAGCCUGAUCAAGCCAUACCGCGUGGGGGAAGAAGGCCUUCGGGUUGUAAAGCCCUUUUGUUGGGAAAGAAAAGCAGCAGGUUAAUACCCCGCUGUUCUGACGGUACCCAAAGAAUAAGCACCGGCUAACUUCG
rnacentral:rRNA from 1 species